rnacentral:lncRNA from 1 species
ACCCCUCCCCUCCCUCCCGCAGCGGGCUCAGAAAGUUGCGAGCCGCAGCCCGGGCUGCUUCCAAAAAUCUUGGGGUUCCCCCUCCCCUCCAAUGUCUGCAGUUCCUGGGCUUCCUUUGUCCACGGGGCCAGGCCUCUUCACCCCACUCAGGACCGGCUCGUGGGAGCGCGUCUAGUCCGGCCGGGCCGCUUCGGUUUUCUGGACUCGCCCAUUGUUUCGGGAUUGUUUCGGGACCAGCUAUUCCAGAGACGGGCCCUUUGCCGGGGGUCCCCGACUCGAGAGGUUUCCGGACCCACUGCUCCAGACCUAAGACUUUUCGGGAGCGCCGAGACGCCGGACUUUUUUAGGGGAUCCCGGCUCAGGAAUUUCUCCAGAACCAACUUUUUGCCAGGGCCGGAAAGUUUUGGAGAAUCCAGUUUUUCUAGCCCUACGGAGUUUGGCUCCAUUGAUUUGCUAGAGUCCACGUUUGUAGGGAAACUUGGUUCCCGCCCCAGACAAGAAACUUAUUUUUGAGAUUAUUUUUUCUAGAUUGUGAGGCAAAUCUGGGUUUGUUCCCACCCCCCUUGACUGGGGAGAAAUCUGGGUUAUUUUUAUACCUUGGGGUGAGAACUGGGUUUAAUAAUAUUUCUAGAUGAGAAGAAAUCUCAGUUUAAUUUUUCUGGAUCAGGAAGAAAUCCGGGUUUAAUUUUCUUGGAUCAGGGCAAAAUCUGGAUGUAUUUUUUUUCUAGAUUGGGAAGAAAUCUGGGUUUAUUUUUCCUAGAUUGGGGAGAAAUCUAAAUUAUUUUUUUCUGGAUCGGGGCAAAAUCUUGGUUUAUUGUUUCUGGACUGGGAUGAAAUCUGGGUUUAACUUUUUCUAGAUUGCAGAUAAAUCUAGGUUUAAUUUUUCUGGAUCAGGAAGAAAUCCGGGUUUAAUUUUUCUGGAUCAGGGCGAAAUCUGGGUUUAAUAAUUUUUCUGGAUCAGGGUGAAUUCUGGGUUAAUUUUUUUUCUAGAUUCGGAGGAAAUCUAGGUUUAAUUUUUCUGGAUCAGGUGAUUUCUGGGUUUAUUUUUUCUGGAUCGGGGCAAAAUCUGGGUUUGUUUUUUCUGGAUGGGGAUGAAAUCAGGAUUUAAUUGUUUCUAGAUUGGGGAGAAAUCUGGGUUUAUUUUUCUGGAUCUGGGUGAUUUCUGGAUUUUUUUUUUUAGAUUGGGGCGGGGAAAAGCAGGGUUUCCUUUUUCGAGAGUUGGAAUCAGGGAGUCAGACAAAUGUGUCAAGUAUCAGGGGGUAGCCGUGUUAGUCUGUAUCUACAAAAACAACAAGGAGUCUGGUGGCACCUUAAAGACUAACAGAUUUAUUUGGGCAUAAGCUUUCGUGAGUAAAAACCUCACUUCUUCAGAUGCAUCUGAAGAAGUGAGACAAAUGUGAGGAGUUAAAACUUUCUAGACCGGGCAAAAAUGGAGCAUUAAAAGUUUUGGAGUUUAGGAGACAUUUUGGGGUUUCCAUUUUUGUAGACUGGGGAAAAAAGUGAUUGUCCCCUA